rnacentral:rRNA from 1 species
GAUGAACGCUGGCGGCGUGCUUAACACAUGCAAGUCGAGCGAUGAAGUUUCUUUCGGGAAAUGGAUUAGCGGCGGACGGGUGAGUAACACGUGGGUAACCUGCCUCAUAGAGUGGAAUAGCCUUUCGAAAGGAAGAUUAAUACCGCAUAAUGUUGAAAGAUGGCAUCAUCAUUCAACCAAAGGGGUAACCCGCUAUGAGAUGGACCCGCGGCGCAUUAGCUAGUUGGUGGGGUAACGGCCUACCAAGGCGACGAUGCGUAGCCGACCUGAGAGGGUGAUCGGCCACAUUGGGACUGAGACACGGCCCAGACUCCUACGGGAGGCAGCAGUGGGGAAUAUUGCACAAUGGGGGAAACCCUGAUGCAGCAACGCCGCGUGAGUGAUGAAGGUUUUUGGAUCGUAAAGCUCUGUCUUUGGGGAAGAUAAUGACGGUACCCAAGGAGGAAGCCACGGCUAACUACGUGCCAGCCGCCGCCGUAAAAC